GUAGCCGGUUUUAGCAAGUUCCUGGUUAAAUCUGGCAGCAAACUGUCAGGCGUGCUAGGAAUACUAUUGGACUUGAGAUUUGGAGAGGUCAGAGGUAGUCCAUGUGUAGGGGGUUAAAUCCUUUAAUACCAUGAGGACCUCCGGUGGCGAAGGCGUCUGACUGGAACAAGUCUGACGGUGAGGGCCGAAAGCGUGGGGAGCAAAACGGAUUAGAUACCCGUGUAGUCCACGCUGUAAACGAUGUCCGUUUGAUGUGACAAAUACUUACGUGGACUUGUUGUGUCGGA
rnacentral:rRNA from 1 species